UACAGAUAUUUUUUGCCUUCGUUCUUGUCCCAAUCUAAAAACCAACAAUUUCUUUUGCCUAUUUUUAUGAUUCUGUGAAUGCAACAAUAUUAAAGUGCCUCAAUUUCUUUGAUUAUAUCCAAAUAUAAAAACCAUCACCCCACUCUUUUGUCUAAGAUGGCUUCCACCCUAGUAGCAGUGAUCAAUGGCGAUAUUACACCGAAUACCGAUGUAGAGGAAUUCGACGAAUUAAAAGUUUGAAGCUUUGCAACAUGGUUAACGCAUACUACCAUGAUGAGAAAAUUAAACCAAGCUACCAGCAGACCUUUCGGAAUGGCCAAUCGUGGAUGCCAAGGGGAUUCCUAACUGUGGUGGCAGUGAUAACUCUACUGGAUGGGUCCUUUCAUGGGUGCAACUUGAGGAUGAAUUUAAGAUCAACAUAUUUGGUGUGCUAGAUGAUGCUAUUGUGAGGGCAAAAGCAGCAGUGUCUUUGGUAACUUCUCCAUUCAAUAGAUUGAGGAAGCACAUUCUUGAUGAUGUUAUGGACUGGCAAGCACGCCAGGCAUGCCAAGCACCUCACCAAGAAUCCUAAGAUAAACUUGGUAGUGUCGAACAAUGCUGAUGUCCACUUAAUUGCAACACUAUUUUCAUGCUUUUGCAUCUCUUUUGCAAUACCAGAGAACUUGUUGAGUGGUGUUGUUAUUUAAAAAAUCCCUGUCCUUUAACAUUAAUCUUUCUAUCUUUUUGUGCCCAUGGGCUUUUAUUAAGUUGUUAGUGCGAAGCUGUUAUAUCCUUUAAUUCUCUAUAUUUUGUGAUGGACAGGAGCUUUAGUUUGGUAGUUUUUUUAAUUUAUUAAUAUUAUUAUUUAUAAUAUUUUGUGAAAUUCGUGACAUUUGCUCAUGCUGUUGAUUAGAAAACAAUCAUUAAUAUUAUAUUU